AGGACUCCACAUCCUAUCCUAGUGGACAUGAUCUUUUCCUAUUGUGCUUGACCUUCUAUAACCUCUAUGAGCCCGACACUCUAGGUCCGACCAUAUGAACCUAGGGCUCUGAUACCAUUCUGUAACGACCCGAAAAUCGGACCGCUACCGGCGCUAGGAUCCGGGUCGACUUAAGGCCGCCAGGACCCGUAGCAAGCCUGACAUAAAACCUGUAAACCUGUAUAAUCCCAUACAUGAUCAACAACAUGCAUAAAAAUUA
rnacentral:lncRNA from 1 species